rnacentral:tRNA from 1 species
GGCUGGCGUUGUCGGCGGCGGGCGCGGCCGUGGCCUUGCUUGCCGCGAGCCUGACGGCCAUGGGGUUGUUCCGUUCGAUCCGUCGGUUG